rnacentral:rRNA from 1 species
UACGGAGGGGGCUAGCGUUGUUCGGAAUUACUGGGCGUAAAGCGCACGUAGGCGGCUUUGUAAGUUAGAGGUGAAAGCCCAGGGCUUAACCCUGGAAUUGCCUUUAAGACUGCAUCGCUAGAAUCGUGGAGAGGUGAGUGGAAUUCCGAGUGUAGAGGUGAAAUUCGUAGAUAUUCGGAAGAACACCAGUGGCGAAGGCGACUCACUGGACACGGUAUUGACGCUGAGGUGCGAAAGCGUGGGGAGCAAACAGG